AGGACGAACGCUUGCGGCGUGCCUAAGAAAUGCAAGUCGAGCGGGGGAGCAAUCCCUAGCGGCGAACGGUCGCGUAACACGUAGGCAACCUGCCCGAGAGACCGGGACAACACUCCGAAAGGGGUGCUAAUACCGGAUGUGGCCGGCGGAAGACCUCUUCUGCCGAUUAAACCCCGUAAGGGGCUCUUGGAGGGGCCUGCGGCCUAUCAGCUAGAUGGUGGGGUAACGGCCUACCAUGGCGACGACGGGUAGCUGGUCUGAGAGGAUGGUCAGCCGGAUUGGGACUGAGAUACGGCCCAGACUCCUACGGGGGGCAGCAAUUAGGAAUCUUGCGCAAUGGGGGCAACCCUGACGCAGCGACGCCGCGUGGAGGAGGAAGGCCUUCGGGUUGUAAACUCCUUUUGGGUGGAAGAACAAAUGACGGUACCACCGAAUAAGCCCGGCUAACUCCGUGCCAGCAGCCGC
rnacentral:rRNA from 1 species